rnacentral:rRNA from 1 species
GACGUAGGGCGCGAGCGUUGUCCGGUUUUAUUGGGCGUAAAGAGCUCGUAGGCGGCUUGUCGCGUCGACUGUGAAAACCCGCGGCUCAACUGCGGGCCUGCAGCCGAUACGGGCAGGCUAGAGUUCGGUAGGGGAGACUGGAAUUCCUGGUGUAGCGGUGAAAUGCGCAGAUAUCAGGAGGAACACCGAUGGCGAAGGCAGCUCGCUGGGACGGUACUGACGCUGAGGCGCGAAAGCGUGGGGAGCAAACAGG